rnacentral:lncRNA from 1 species
AAGAUGCUCAUCCUCAUAAGAUUUUUUGGUUGUGAUUUACUGGAUUUUACUUUCAUUAACAGAACUGGAGAAGCCUGCUGGCCACAUUGAAUUGGUAUCUGGGUUUUUGCCUGCUAAGACUCCAAAUAUUCUUCUUCCUAGGGGCAAGGAUAUGAGUAGGACAUGUCAUAAGCGACAACCGGAAGGCAUGGAGUGCACACUCAAGCUCAAAGAAGUAAAGAAAAUUAGUGGCAUCUAUGCUGAUUGGAUUGAAGAUAUGCCCUUUCUUGCAUAACUCGUUGAAAAUUAUCCUUGUCAGAGGCAGGAAUUGUCAAUCAGAUGUGUCAGUUGUUGUAGUAAUGACCUCUUAAUGCGAGGAUAUGAUAUUUUAAAUGCUUAACAUGUCUAUUUUCGAAGUGGCAUGCUAUACUAGGAGACUCGGAUCUCUUGAUUUGAAACUGUUUAUAGUUUGUGCAAGUUCGUUUUAC